GCAGAAGCCCUUGCAGCACCGCUUCUCCGGGCGGGGAGCGUCAGGCGGAGGACUGCGGGGAGAGAGCAAGCUUGGAGAGGUUGGGGACCACUGUUAGGCGCUCCCAUGAGCGAGCCUUGUAGGUUCUAAAGUUAUGAGGAAGGAGAAACUAUGGAUUAAGAUCUGAACAGAGGCUGGGAAAGUAAUAAGAUGUGAGACCUAUGCCCUCUCUAUCACUACAAGUUGCUGGCUCUUUGCUAUAUCCUUCCUCCUUCUCUGGACAAGGCUCAUUCUGCCAUGCCUACAACCCAACUUGUACUGUGCAAAGAGUAGAAAAACAGAAUUACCACAUGGAGCCUGUCUCCUGACAACAGGACUGCCGGGCACUCAUCUCUCGGAUGUUACAAGACAGAGAAAAAUGUCUGCCUUGCACAGACAGUGUUUCAUGCAGCCCAGGCUGAAGCGCAGACAAGGAUGACGCAGAACCACUGCGUCUCCUGCCUCCACUCCUGAAGUGCCUGGGAUUUCAGUCUUUUACCACCAUGCCCAGCCUUAAAAUCAUGAAAUAAUGGAAACAAACCCUUUGUAAACCAGGUGCUUCCCAAAUCACCCCCAGAAAGAUCAUUCAAAUUUCCACAGAAAAGCAAGUGAGAGCCGGGAUGAGCUCUAACCCGGGCCACUCAUUACUGGGUGCUCCAAACAAUC